rnacentral:rRNA from 1 species
GAUGAUUGGUUAAAAAUACUUAAACGUUAUAUUUAUAUAAAGGAAUUGUUUUGUGUCAGUAAAGGGUGAAAUCAAUUUUUUGUUGAAUAAAUAAUUUUGUCUAGUAUAACAAAGUUGAGGUUGUUAAGGUCAAGGUAUGAACCAGGAUUAGAGACCCUGUUACACUUGAUUUUAAAUUCAAAUACCUGGGUAGUAAACAGUUAUGAUCUUGAAACUUAAAGGAUUUGGCGGUAAUUUAGUCUAGUUAGAGGAACCUGUCCUGUAAUCGAUAGUCCACGGAAAAUCUUACUUUAUCUUGAACAAUUCAGCUUAUAUACCGUCAUUGUUAGGUAACUUAAAAAAAAGUAGAAGUUGCUGUAAUAGUUUUUAAUUAGUAUAUUAGAUCAAGGUGUAGCCUAUGGUAAAGUAGAGAUGGGUUACAAUAAAAUUAGUUUAAUAAAACGGAUCUAGGAUGGAAAAGUGUUAGUGAAGGAGGAUUUAAAUGUAAAGAUAUUUUAACAUGGUAUCUUGAUUAUAGCUCUAGAUUAUGUACACAUCGCCCGUCGCUCU